CUGCUCCAGCAAGAAUUAAGAUACCAAUUCUGUCUAUAUUCCUUUCAGGCAGUUUUAAACAGCAGCUGUUGUAUUGCUGAAGGUGUAGGCAAACAGCAUGAUGCUGAUGUACUGUUGUUCCGAAUAUGUAUUGAUACAGCCUCUAUGAAGGGCAACUGGAUGGUAGCUGUCAGUGUUGAAGGUGUGGGAAUUCCCUGGGGGUCCACUGGUUAGGACAUCAUGUUUUCACUGCCUAGGGCGUGGGUUCAGUCCCUGAUUGGGGAAUUAAGGUCUCUCAAGCUAUGCGGCAUGGCCAAAAAAUAUAUAUAUAUAAUAUAUAUAUUGAAGGUGUAUAUAUUUGAUCCAGGUUUAGGAAUUUCACUGCUAGGAAUUGAUCCUGAAGAUAUUGAUGCAAGGCCUUUCAUACAAGUAUUUUCAUUGUAAUCAUAGAGGAUUGGGCACCGGUUUCCUCCACGGGGCACUGGGUAAAUUAUUGUACAUCCAUAUAGUGGCACCCUUAAACAGAAGGGAAUCCUCUCUGUGUACUGACAUUGAACACUUUUAUCAGGAGGCAGCAGAAAAUGAUUAACUGUUUAUUCAGUAUACUACUAUACUGUAUAAGUGGGAAAAGAAAAAGUGUGUUUGUAUAUGUACAAACUAUCUCCAGAAGGAGAUUUCUACAUGCUAUGGAUUGUAUUCUUCUUCUAACUUUUCUGUUAUUCCUAGGGACUUGGGAUAAGAGGUGGCGGCUCCAGGGUAAUAUUAGUCUACCAAAUGGUAGAUUGUGAAAACAAGUGUGAUGAAAACUGACAAGUAAUGACAGAGUACGGCAAAGUGACUGGAUAGCAGCCCACCUGGAUAAUAUUGAUGUACGCUUCCCUCAGAACACUAUACAUGACAUUCCAGAGAAGGCUGGCAGAACCGUGCUGAAAACCCAGGCAUUGUAUCUUGUUGAUUUUCCUUCGAUGCUUGAUUAGCAUACCCUACCUACAUCAUCCUCUGACUCCGGAUCAUCCAGUGACUCUGAAAGCCACUCCAGGAGCGGCCCAUUGAAACCUGGUGGGUGCAGAGCAGUCUCUCUUGCCCUUGCUGGAAAAUGACCUAUAAAAAGUGGGGUGCUCACCUGCUACAGUAAUGGAGAGGUAGCUAUGCAGGAUCUUAGUUCCCUGACCAGGGAUCGAACCAGUGCCCCCUGCAGCAAAAGCGUGGAGUCUUAACUACUGGACUGCCAGCAUUUUCAUCAGGAAGAGAAUAUUUAUUCAACCAGCCAUCUUUAUUGAGAAUCUCAAUUUAAUUCUUUAAUGAAAAAUACAACUUCCAGUUCCACAUAAUUUAUGUAAAUACCUCACUCUCAAGGAAGUACUGAAUAACCCACCACUCUUUAAAUGUGAGCUGCGCAUAGUGACUUCCAUCCGAGAGUACAGAACAGCAAGGGGUGAGGGAGGAAUAGCUUUAUAUUGGAGAUACCUGAGGAACCCUCCCACAGCCUGGUGAUCAAGGUCAACAUCAACAGUGAUAAAAUCAUGCUGAUCGUAUGCACCCUUUGUGGUCUC